rnacentral:rRNA from 1 species
GUCUACAGCCAUGCCACCCUGAACACGCCAUCUGAUCACAGAAGCUAAGCAGGGUCGAGCCCGGUUAGUACUUGGAUGGGAGACCACCUAGGAAGACCAGGUGCUGUAGGUG